UACGUAGGUGGCGAGCGUUGUCCGGAUUUACUGGGCGUAAAGGGAGCGUAGGCGGACUUUUAAGUGAGAUGUGAAAUACUCGGGCUCAACUUGAGUGCUGCAUUUCAAACUGGAAGUCUAGAGUGCAGGAGAGGAGGAUGGAAUUCCUAGUCUAGCGGUGAAAUGCGUAGAGAUUAGGAAGAACACCAAUGGCGAAGGCGAUUCUCUGGACUGUAACUGACGCUGAGGCUCGAAAGCGUGGGGAGCAAACAGG
rnacentral:rRNA from 1 species